rnacentral:rRNA from 1 species
AUUGAACGCUGGCGGCAUGCCUUACACAUGCAAGUCGAACGGCAGCACGGAGCUUGCUCUGGUGGCGAGUGGCGAACGGGUGAGUAAUAUAUCGGAACGUACCCAAGAGUGGGGGAUAACGUAGCGAAAGUUACGCUAAUACCGCAUACGAUCUAAGGAUGAAAGCAGGGGAUCGCAAGACCUUGUGCUCCUGGAGCGGCCGAUAUCUGAUUAGCUAGUUGGUGAGGUAAGGGCUCACCAAGGCAUCGAUCAGUAGCUGGUCUGAGAGGACGACCAGCCACACUGGAACUGAGACACGGUCCAGACUCCUACGGGAGGCAGCAGUGGGGAAUUUUGGACAAUGGGGGCAACCCUGAUCCAGCAAUGCCGCGUGAGUGAAGAAGGCCUUCGGGUUGUAAAGCUCUUUUGUCAGGGAAGAAACGGUGAAGGCUAAUAUCCUUUGCUAAUGACGGUACCUGAAGAAUAAGCACCGGCUAACUACGUGCCAGCCGCCGCGGUAAUAC